GGGUGUGUAGCUUAGUUGGUAGAGUGCUUGCCUAGCAUUCAAGAAGCCCUAGGUUCAAUUCCCUGGUACCUCCU
rnacentral:tRNA from 1 species